CAGAGUCGUAAAAAACUCCCAACCCAUGUGAAUUUACCUUUGUUGCCUCGGCAGGACCUACCCUGUAGCUACUCUGUAGCUACCUUGUAGCCUGCCGGUGGACCAUUAAACUCUUGUUAUUUAAUAGUAAUCUGAGCGUCUUAUUUAAUAAGUCA
rnacentral:misc_RNA from 1 species